GAUGAACGCUGGCGGCGUGCCUAACACAUGCAAGUCGAGCGUGAUUUAUGAGGACGAAACUUCGGUCUAGGAAUCAUAAUGAAAGCGGCGGACGGGUGAGUAACGCGUAGGCAACCUGCCCUUGACACAGGGAUAGCCUCGGGAAACCGGGAUUAAAACCUGAUGACGCCAAACAGUCACAUGGCUGUUUGGCCAAAGAUUUAUCGGUCAAGGAUGGGCCUGCGUCUGAUUAGUUUGUUGGUGGGGUAACGGCCUACCAAGACGACGAUCAGUAGCCGACCUUAGAGGGUGAUCGGCCACAUUGGAACUGAGACACGGUCCAAACUCCUACGGGAGGCAGCAGUGGGGAAUAUUGCACAAUGGGCGAAAGCCUGAUGCAGCAACGCCGCGUGAGCGAUGAAGGCCUUUGGGUCGUAAAGCUCUGUCCUUGGGGAAGAAACAAAUGACGGUACCCAAGGAGGAAGCCCCGGCUAACUACGUGCCAGCAGCCGCAGUAACAC
rnacentral:rRNA from 1 species